rnacentral:rRNA from 1 species
AACGCUAGCUACAGGCUUAACACAUGCAAGUCGAGGGGAAACGACAUUGAAAGCUUGCUUUUGAUGGGCGUCGACCGGCGCACGGGUGAGUAACGCGUAUCCAACCUGCCCACCACUUGGGGAUAACCUUGCGAAAGUAAGACUAAUACCCAAUGACGUCUCUAGAAGACAUCUGAAGGAGAUUAAAGAUUUAUCGGUGAUGGAUGGGGAUGCGUCUGAUUAGCUUGUUGGCGGGGUAACGGCCCAUCAAGGCGACGAUCAGUAGGGGUUCUGAGAGGAAGGUCCCCCACAUUGGAACUGAGACACGGUCCGAACUCCUACGGGAGGCAGCAGUGAGGAAUAUUGGUCAAUGGGCGAGAGCCUGAACCAGCCAAGUAGCGUGCAGGAUGACGGCCCUAUGGGUUGUAAACUGCUUUUAUAAGGGAAUAAAGUGAGUCUCGUGAGACUUUUUGCAUGUACCUUAUGAAUAAGGACCGGCUAAUUCCGUGCCAGCAGCCGCGGUAAUACGGAAGGUUCGGGCGUUAUCCGGAUUUAUUGGGUUUAAAGGGAGCGUAGGCCGGAGAUUAAGCGUGUUGUGAAAUGUAGACGCUCAACGUCUGCAUUGCAGCGCGAACUGGUUUCCUUGAGUACGCACAAAGUGGGCGGAAUUCGUGGUGUAGCGGUGAAAUGCUUAGAUAUCACGAAGAACUCCGAUUG